rnacentral:lncRNA from 1 species
CGCUGCGCCAGCCUCGCCAGCUGUCGGGCGGCCUUCAUUCCGGGAGGGGGCGGGCGAGGCGCCGCCUCGAGCCGUGGCGCUCAUUGGCUGCAGACCAGAGCCCCCCGGCGCCUCGGGCGCCGCUCCGGACGCUGAUUGGUGGGAACACGGGGAGGGGGCGUGUUCUCCGCGCAGCUGGGAGGAGUCUGGAAUGAAACAGAUGGAAACAGCCAGUCUGUGAACGUUUCUUCAGGUAUCCGGCAGAGGAAAAGCACGCCACAUGUCCCCUGACGACCUGAAGAUGAAUCCUGACUGCCUGGACAUGCCUGGGCGGGUGUACCCAUGGCCUGUGGUUGAACCAGCCACACCUUGUCUCUUGGCCAGAGGCUGCCCUGAGGCUGAGGGCUGUGAGUCCUGGGAUCUGCUGGGGAAGUCCAAGGCAUAUCGCACCAGCUGCCCCUAGCUGCUGCCUGCAGCUGGAGGCCACAGGCCCCCCAUGUUGAAGAAGUGUCACCUUCAAAGGGAGGUCACCAUGCAGCAGCAUCAUGGCUGGAAAGGACCAGAAUUUCUCACCCUUAAAUAAAAGGGCACGCAGUGGCAUGGAACCACGCUGACACCUAUCACUGUUAAACGAGGCCAGGACACAGUCUGAUCUCCAUCUCCACUUUUUGUUGUUGUUAAAUGAAACGGAAGAGCAUCUCCCUGCAGAAGUAAACCACGCACAGAGCCCUAAUGACAUCAUUGCUUCAGCCCCUGGAUCCAGCCAGGCCUGAAGCAGGAUAACCCUGGACUUCCCAGUGAGUGCAUGUAAGGAAAACGACUCCAAAGUGCUGACUUCAGUCCCUGGGACUCCCUCGCUGCAGGAUGAAGCUGGAGGAGGCUGCAGAGGAGGCAGCCUGACGUCAAGCACACAGCUCACCUCGGAGCUCUGCCUGUCCAGAUGGCCUGAUCCUCAUGUCCCCACCUGGCCUGCUGACUCCCUCCUGGCUGAAGGGUGGAAAUGAAUCCUUGUACGGAAUAAGCCUCUCCGGCCCGACCUGGGAAUGAGUAACAGCUUAGCUGGUGACCUUUGCCCUGGGACGACAGCUCUGGACAGCUGCAGGAGGCUUCGUUGGGAUGGGGGUGGCCCAUUGUGGGGUGCCUGGCAGGAGUCUCUGAGCCAUGUCUUUAGAAGGUACGAGUGCAGGACACAGUUCUUUUGUGGUCUGAGAUCUGUGCUUAGGCAGAGAACUGUGUCCAGAGAGUCAGGCUGUAAAGUGGGGAGCCUCCCGUGAGGGCUGCAGCAUUCCCGUGCAGAUCCCUAAUUUCCAAUCUGGACUCUAGAAGACUUUGGUUCUCUUCCUGGCUCUGGCCUCUGCUGGGACCCUGGAGGUGUCUCCUUUCUCCUUCAAGUUUUUCAUCAGCAAUGCCAGGAUUUGGUAAUGACAUGAGUCCCUCCUGGCUCAGAUAGCCCAGCAUCACUGUCACCCUGGGAUCCCUUUGCUGACAUCCCAGUCCCAGACCAGUAACUGCAGCUCAGAGUACCUGAGGCUCCCCAGCUGUUUCCACGGCUUCCCUGUGCCUCAACCCUUAUGACCUUGUUAUUCCCCAGAAAUUCUGCAGCAUGGCAGGCUGGGCUCCCCGCUCCCUGGGGGAGCCUUGUGCUGUGUCACUUCCUCAGACCCCUGCCUGAGCCUGUCCCCUUGUGGGGGACCAGAGUGUAUACCUCACCUGAGCUAGCUUUCUGUUGCUGCUAUACAUAUUACCACAAACUUAGUGGCUUAGAACCCCACACUGUAUUAUCUUACAGUUCUGGAGGGUCAGAAGUUUGACACAAGUCUCACUGGCCUAAAACCAAGGUGCUGGCAGGUCUGACUCCUUCUGAAGGCUCUAGGGGUAUAUUAGUCUAUUCUCAUGCUGCUUAUAAAGACAUACCCGAGACUGGGUAAUUUAUAAAGAAAAAGAGGUUUAAUGGACUCGCAGUUCCAUAUGGCUGGGGAGGCCUCACAAUUAUGGUGGAAGGCAAAGGAAGAGCAAAGGGAUGUCUUACAUGGCAACAGGCAAGAGAACUUGUACAGGGGAACUCCCAUUUAUAAAACCAUCAGAUCUUGUGAGACUUAUUCACUACCAUGAGAACAGCAUGGGAAAGGCCCACCCCCAUGAUUCAAUUACCUCCCACUGGGUCCUUCCCACGACAUGCGGGGAUUAUGGGAGCUACAAUUCAAGAUGAGAUUUGGAUGGGGACAUAGCCAGUCCAUAUCAAGGGGAGAACCCACUUCCUUGCCUUUUCCAACUUCUAGAGGCUGCCUGCAUUCCUUGGCUCAUGGCCCUUUCCUCCAUCUUCAAAGCCAGCUUUGGGGCUCUGUCACCCUUCUUGUAUUGCAUUUCUAACCCACUCUGCCACCUCCUCCACUUCUAAGGACUCAUGGGUUAGGUUGGGCCCAUCUGGAUAAUGCCACAUAAUCUCCUCAUUUCAAAGCCUUAACUUUCUUCACAUCUGCAAGUCCUGUGAUCAUGUAAGGACACCUUUUCAUGGGUUCUAGGGAUUAGGCUGGGGAUAGUUUUGCCGGGAGCAUUCUUCUGCCUACCACCCCACCCAAUCUGAGGCUUGGGGUUUGCGCAGGGCACCAUGAUAGUUUUCCUCUGGGGUCUCAGCUCAGGUGCUAGAAGGGCACCUCCUCUCUGGAACCCUCUGUGAUUGCACCAGGCAGAGGCAACUGCCCUUCCUCUGGCAACCACCACCCCCAGCACACUUGUCAUGCUUGUGUGACAGUGCCUGUGGGUAGGUCUCCCCUGUUAAUUGGGAACAAGUGGGUAGUGUCAGGCCUCUGAGCCCAAGCUAAGCCAUCAUAUCCCCUGUGACCAGCAUGUAUACAUCCAGAUGGCCUGAAGCAACUGAAGAUCUACAAAAGAAGUGAAAAUAGCCUUAACUGAUGACAUUCCACCAUUGUGAUUUGUUUCUGCCCCACCCUAACUGAUCAAUGUACUUUGUAAUCUCCCCCACCCUUAAGAGGGUUCUUUGUAAUUCUCCCCACCCUUGAGAAUGUACUUUGUGAGAGCCACCCUCUGCCCGAAAAACAUUGCUCCUAACUCCACCGCCUAUCCCAAAACCUAUAAGAACUAAUGAUAAUCCCACCACCCUUUGCUGACUCCUUUUUCGGACUCAGCCCCCCCGCACCCAGGUGAAAUAAACAGCCUUGUUGCUCGCAAAAAGCCUGUUUGGUGGUCUCUUCACACAGACAGGUGAGACAGGUAGAGACCUUACCUUCUUCCCCCGGGGUGC